AGUAUCACACCACAGGACGGAUUACACUGAUGAAGUAAAAUAGGAUGCUAGCAUCUGAUACUU
rnacentral:tRNA from 1 species